CCUUUCUCAGCCAGGAGCGUAGUAGGACAGUUCCGAGCCCAGGCAGGCAACUCUGCUCGCUGCACGCUUUGCUGGAUGGAUGAGACCUGGCACUUCCAAUUAGGGCACUCACACAAAGCAUGGCUGGCUGUGGCAUUGCCAUGCAGCCCAGCUCCUAGGGCAGCUAGCUCCGACAGCGCUGCUUGCCUGGGACGGCAACUCCAAGUUAGUGAGAGCUUCAGGAGAAAACCACUGGACCUUCUGAGACCACGUUACCAUGAAGAGAGAUCUACAAGCAGCAAAGAUCUGACCCUCAAGAGUCAGAC
rnacentral:lncRNA from 1 species